AGUGGCGCUGGUGUGCAUUGUUCCCAUAACAUUCAAUAUUUGUAUUGGAAUUUUUGAUUAAAAAUUAUUUUAAGCACAAUGAGGCGUUGUUUUGUGCCAAUAUCCUCAGAAAUUGGAGUACAUCAAUUCCCGAAGGACAAGAAAAUUGGAAGACUGUGGUUAAAGGCCAUUUGACGCGAAAAAAGUACUCCCACAAAAAGUUCGAGGUUAUGUCGUAAACACUUUGUGGAAUCUGACUAUGAAAACAUUAGUAAAUACACAGGUGUCAAACAUUAACAUAAAUAUCUGAAGAAAGGUGCUGUACCAUCUAUAUUUUCAUGGAAUAUGAAACCAGUUUCUGAAGAAACAAAAA